rnacentral:rRNA from 1 species
CAGCAGCCGCGGGAAUACAGAGGGUGCGAGCGUUAAUCGGAUUUACUGGGCGUAAAGCGUGCGUAGGCGGCUUUUUAAGUCGGAUGUGAAAUCCCUGAGCUUAACUUAGGAAUUGCAUUCGAUACUGGGAAGCUAGAGUAUGGGAGAGGAUGGUAGAAUUCCAGGUGUAGCGGUGAAAUGCGUAGAGAUCUGGAGGAAUACCGAUGGCGAAGGCAGCCAUCUGGCCUAACACUGACGCUGAGGUACGAAAGCAUGGGGAGCAAACAGGAUUAGAUACCCGGGUAGUCCCUGUCUCUUAUAC